rnacentral:sRNA from 1 species
CACAGAGACACAGACAUAGAGAGAAAGAGAGGAGAGGAGAAGAGAAGAGAAGAGAGAAGAGAAAAGACCAAACAAGUAUGGAUUUUGAGAACUUUAUAGUUUGUUUGUUCGUUUUUUUUGUAGUAUUCUUUAUAUCCCCAUCACAUCUGGGCCCAGUACUUUCUUGAUUUCCAUGCCCACAGAAUGCUCCCAUAGCCGUUAAAGGACACCACUCUUUCCUUUGUGACNGCCACCCAAUCCUUGAGAAUUAUUAAAGUGUUCGCAUUAUUUUCCUUCUCCUUUUCCCACCCAACUCCCAAUCAAGAAAAAUACUUUAAACCAAAUUACUCGAAGGCUUAUGUCCCCAGCGAAUGUUCACAAAGCUUCUUUCCGUCCUCUGCUCCUCGAGAGUAAUCCAUAGUUGAGUAGAUCAGUAGCUCUGUUUGGCAGUAACUUACCAGUCAACAUCAUUCAUUCCAGCAACAUGGGAAGUAAUGAGAUGGCGAUGGGGUGUUAAGAGGUGGCAGUGAACACAGAGGUCAGUGGCUAUGAAACACAGCUCACAAGUGGGGAAUGAUUCUCUGUGGUGGAUGCUUGAUUAUUCCCUCCCAUCGGUGUUGUACUUUAUGCCUUUCCAAUCCACUUUGCCUCUUAUUUCUGACAAUCCCCCAAUAAAAACUACCUUUUCAUUUAUCUACGGAUCCAUGCCUUCCACACAGAGCAUUGCUAAAUAGGUUUCCUUGAUAAAUUGGAAUAUUUAUUUUAUUUUUUUAUUUUAUGCAGAUCAUGGUUUUGUAUAUAGUUUUCUUCCUACAAGUCAAAGUGUAAAUGUUCUUGGAAAUGAUUUUUUUUGCUUCAGUUUCCUACCAUAAAUGUUAAUAUUGACCUUUAGGUUGGAUGAAAAUUAUGACAGAAGAGGUGAGUUUUUUUUAAUUAGCAGCAGCAUGCUUUAUUCAAUAGUUCUGAUGAUUUGGUUUCCAGUGGUAUCAGUUGUCCAGCAGGUCAGGGAACCAUAUGUGUUUUGAAAUCACAUGAGGUUAUUUGCCAAAAGUGGGAUCAUCAUCUUUAGGGGAUCCCCAGACCCUUUUAUUAUCCAUUUAGCCUCAGAAUUUAAAUUGUGGCCAUAGAGCAGUGGAGAAAGAAGGAAAAGGGGAAGAGAUGGGAGGAAUAACUAUAACAAAAAUAGGAUUAUAAAUGCGUCCUGUAUUUAUGGUAAGAAUGAAAAGCAAAUUCAACUGAGGUCAUCCUUAACGGCGGUCCGCUUUGGUAUAGCACGGGGCUCCUAAUUUACUUUUUAUACUCUAGUCUUUCUUCAGACAUCACUAGCUUCCCAGCAACUAAGUCUUGUUGGGAUGUUUAGCAAAUCGGGCUCAUCGUUAAUAAAGACUUUUUUUAGGAAUUAUGAUUAAUGAACUUACUUUGAAAUAUCCUUACGUUUUUAAAGUAUGUGUUCAUGUCGGGGAAGGUUGUCUGCAUGAACGCAGUACUUGAAGCAGCUGGAAUAAAACAUUGGAACCCUGAGCUAGGGAACUUUGGCCUUGUGUCCUCCCGCCUUCCCUGGUCCUGGCUGCCUGCACAAGCAGAUUUCUACUCUCAGGCUCAUACUUCAUCCGCCUUGCAUUUCGUGCAAGCCCCACCCAAAGAAGCUGGGAAACCUGAAAUCACAUCUUCUUUGCUCUCCUUCUGUGCGGAGAGUUCUGUCAGCCUCUAGGACCUCAGCUUUUCAUUCUUCCACUCCAUGAUGAGCUUGUUGGCCAGGCCUUGUCUCUAGAGCCCGUGAAUAUUUUACUUCCCGUGGCAGAAGGAUUUUACAAAUGCAGUUAGGUAAAAUAUUAUUGAGAUGAGAAAUUAUCCUGGCGCACUCGGGUGGGCACGGCGAGACCACAGAAACUUCCGGGAGAGCUAAGGGAUGACAAGUGAGUGAGAAAGAGCUGCCCCUGGACACAGAUUGUGAGAUCAAAGUUAUCUGAGAAGAUAUAGAAAGGACACAUGAUGAUAGAUUUCUAGAAGGUAGAAGAGACAAGGGAAUGGGUUCUCUCCAGGAAUAAGGGUGGCCAUAAGCCUAAACCUUGAUUCAUUUUAGCUCUGCAAAACCAUUGUCUAACUUCUCGCUGGCAGAGCCCUAGGAUAACCAGUUGAUACUGUUGCGAGUUCCUGGGUGUGUGGCCUUUUGUUAUUUUGUUGCUGCUGCUUGGGAAUCUAAUUCAGUGUCUCCCUCUCUGCCUAUGAACCUCAGAGGUUAAUCAGAACUCUCAACGGCUCUGCUGUUGGUCAGUGCCUGGAGGAGGUGCCAGCUCUAAAUUCUUUGUUGCAUUUAGGCCUGAACGUGGAGGCUCAUCUGGAGUCCAUGGUAGACCCAUUUCCUCUGGAGCUUGGAGGGCCUUGACACAGACUUACAGGCCACACCUGCCUCUGAGCUUGUGUGUCACUGCAGGUGAACUUAGGCUUCGAGUUCAUAUCCUCCUGCAAUACCAGCAGAAUGCUUUCCCAGCACAUGCUGUGCACCAGGGCUUCUGUUCCACAGAGAAGCUAAGACAGUUUCUUGGUGCCAAAGUAAGGGGNUUUUUAAAUUAUCAUUAGUGCUAUUUACCAUGAACUUGGUGGGUGAGGGGAUUUUUGUCCUUUAUGUAGAUUGUCUCUGAAUCCUUGAAAAAUUUAUCCCCGGGGACUGAGGUCUUUGUUUCUUCCCAUUCUAAUGAUCUUGCACCUUUUAUUCUCUAUAAAUAGUUAUAGGGAAAGUUUUUCGCCGAUGAAACCCACCUACAACCUUAGAUCAGGCUCUUGCAGAAGCUGAAAUAAGGAAGGCUUAAGCGUCCUCAGUGUGACAUUGUGCAUCGUGGUAAAAGUGUACAGUCUGAACAAAGAGCCGGCUUCUUUUUACCUUGACGGUUUUAAAACCUCUUUGGGGGUUUCUAACAUGUGGGAAAGUUUCAAAGCAAUCAUCCCAAAACAUCUCUAUGAAUCACCACUCAAUUUCUGUUACACUAAAAAGGAAGUGAAAGUAUGAAAGGACACAUAAUUUAUUCAAUGUCAUACAAUGAGGGAAGGGCAGAGAGGGGAUCGGGUGCAAAGACAGAACCCACAGCAUAGCCUCUCCGUUGCCUUGGUUAGAGGUGAAUUCUAAAAUCACUGCAGAAUUGCUAUCCAACCUUCUAGCUGAGUAGGUGAAUUAAGGAAUAAAUGUAGAUAAGCUAUUUUGUAGAUAAGCUAAAUUAAAUUAAUCAAACUAAAAUGUUGACUAGUGUCAUUACUAAUUUUAAUUUGCACUGUGCUUUUGACAUACUGUCUGGUGUUCCUUUGUGAAUCCUGCCCCACCCCACACACCCAACACUUACCUUCUUACAUCUUUAAAGUCUGUAGUUAAAAUGCUAAAAGAAGAAAUAGUAGCAUUCUUCACUCUCCAUCAUUGUUUGAGCACUGCUUCUUUGCCCUAGAAUUCUUAGGCAUUUAACUUGCAAAAUUCAUGGCUGUAUUUUGAACAGCUGUGUGUUUUUUUAUAUUAAGAAAUUCAUCUUUAGGUAGCCCAGAGCUAAGUCAAUCUGAAAUGAUCAAAAUAAAUUUGAUUUGCCUCCACUUUUAAAAGAACUGCUUUGUUCGAGGAAUGGCUCUCUUUCACCAUUUAAAAUAAAUAUCCUUCCUCCUCAGAAUCUUUGAAAAGCUCAGUGGCAUUAUUUAUGUGGUCAUAUAGGGACUCCAGAGAGCAGACCUGCUAGUCCUUAUAGAAUCUGCAUCUUCCUUUACUGGCAGUGGAACCAACAAGGACAAAAGUAAUGGACUGAGUUGAGUUGCACCCCCUCUCCUCAAGCUAGACUCGGUCACCUGCUCCCAAUAUGCCAACUGGAUAAUGGUGACAGACAGAAGAGAGCGAUUCAAGAGCACAUCAGGAACAGGAUUAAUUAAAAGGGUCCACUGACCCUUCCAAGUUCAUCUCUAUGGUCGCAGCCUUGUCCUGUGGAUUGUGCCCUCACCUGGGGACAGUCAGGGGAGAGUCUAUCCUAUGAGUUCUGCUGUUUCUGAAGUCCAACACGACUGCAGAUUUAUUCAUGGCUUCUCUGGAUACAAGUCCACAGUAGGACGCAUGGUUCUCUUUGGAGAAAACAAGCAUGGUGUCUGAAAACUGUCAGGUGUACACCUCGUGCCAACCGACGCAGAACAGGAAGCCCUGUUGCCCUUACAGCUGUGUGCAUCGUUCUCGGGGAAUGGCGGGGCUAAAGAAAACUCAAGCAGCUCUCGGAAGUCUGUCAGGAAAGAUGGAAGACUUUUGAAACAUGUGCUCGCUCACCGUGAGGCAGCUCCUCAAACCACUCUGAAUCCGUUCUAACUUCCUUACAGUUGAAGCUGUCCUCAAGAGUUUAGUUACCACUGGUGAUCUCCCACAUCCCACACACAAAGACAUACUUGAAGGAAACGAAGACACUCCCUGCACUCCAUUUUAUGGGAGAGCGAGCUCUCAGUUAUGCUGGCUGGAAAACACACAUUUCCUGCUUGCAAUGGGUUGGAUUCCCAUGGCCUCGGGCAGGCAGAAAUCUUGAUGUAACCACUGCACCCUGGGAAGAAAGGCUCCCCAACCCCCACACACCUAAUUCUAAUUCUUUUCUAAUUCGGUCUGGAAUCUUCAAAGGGAAGUUAAAACUGAUCCAUACAGGGAAAUAUUGUGCAUUUAAGACAGGAAAGAACUCCGUUGUCAAUACAGAGCAGGCUGUUCAUUUUGCUAAAAAUAUGUAAGAGCUAAUUUGCCAGUAAAUCUGCGCUGGACUUUGCUUUAUCCUGAGACAUUUUUAUAUAGCACUGCCCUCAGUUGUUCCUUCCAUUCGUUUGUCAGGUUGAGCAUUUUUUUGGGAGAGCUUGUGGUCUUAAGGAAAUAAACUGUUUUUCUCUCCCUUUUUAAAAGCCACUUCAUGGAAGGCGAGACUUCAUUUCCUGAAAAUGAGUGUAGAAUAUCCCACUUAAUUACUUUUCCAGACUCUCAUCUUCCCAUGAAUCACGGUGUUCCAUAACUAAAACAUGUCUGAGUAGGCAGCAAGAGGAAAAGGAUUGAGGGAUGCAUGACCCUUUCUGAAGUUAUGGGAAGAAGACCUUGAACCACUACCCUCAGCCAAUAGCAUUGACACUUUAAACUAGCCAUGGCUCAGAAACAACCCAGGACCCAGCACUCUGCACUUAGCAUCUGUAUCAUACGGAUCCAGAAAAGCCUUUGAAACCAUAAACAUGGAAACUUAAUAACAUAAAUACCAAUCGAGCAACUUGACCAUUCUAGCAAUGCCCUAUAUGUCAUGGAGUUUGAGUUCCAGAGGCAAUGCAGCAUAUAAUCGAUCGUGUAACAAUCCUUCAUCAGGCCAUAUGUAUCAAUAAAGUCAUUGUUUCAUUUUAA